rnacentral:rRNA from 1 species
AUUGAACGCUGGCGGCAGGCCUAACACAUGCAAGUCGAGCGGAUGAAGGGAGCUUGCUCCUGGAUUCAGCGGCGGACGGGUGAGUAAUGCCUAGGAAUCUGCCUGGUAGUGGGGGAUAACGUCCGGAAACGGGCGCUAAUACCGCAUACGUCCUGAGGUAGAAAGUGGGGGAUCUUCGGACCUCACGCUAUCAGAUGAGCCUAGGUCGGAUUAGCUAGUUGGUGGGGUAAAGGCCUACCAAGGCGACGAUCCGUAACUGGUCUGAGAGGGUGAUCAGUCACACUGGAACUGAGACACGGUCCAGACUCCUACGGGAGGAAGCAGUGGAGAAUAUUGGACAAUGGGCGAAAGCCUGAUACAGCCAUGCCGCGUGUGUGAAGAAGGUCUUCGGAUUGUAGAGCACUGUAAGUUGGGAGGAAGGGCAGUAAGUUAAUACCUUGCUGUUUUGACGUUACCAACAGAAUAAGCACCGGCUAACUUCGUG